GGGGCUGUAUCCAGUGGUGGAACAUCUGCUUGGCAUGCAGAAGGUUCUAGGUUCAAUCCUCAGCAUCCCCA
rnacentral:tRNA from 1 species